UACGGAGGGUCCAAGCGUUAUCCGGAUUCAUUGGGUUUAAAGGGUGCGUAGGCGGUUAAAUAAGCCAGUGGUGAAAGCUCGUCGCUCAACGAUGAAAUUGCCAUUGGAACUGUAUAACUUGAGUACGAUUGAAGUAGGCGGAAUAAAUAGUGUAGCGGUGAAAUGCAUAGAUAUUAUUUAGAACACCAAUUGCGAAGGCAGCUUACUAAGUCGUUACUGACGCUGAUGCACGAAAGCGUGGGGAGCGAACAGG
rnacentral:rRNA from 1 species